UGCAGUCGUACGAGAGUUUUUAACUCAAGUGGCGGACGGGUGAGUAACACGUGAGUAUUUACCUUUAGGAGGGGGACAACAAUUGGAAACGAUUGCUAAUACCCCAUAUGCUUUAGAGUGAAAUGGAUUUAUCCGCCUAAAGAAAAGCUCGCGGCUGAUUAGCUAGUUGGUAAGGUAAUGGCUUACCAAGGCGACGAUCAGUAUCUGGUUUGAGAGGACGAUCAGACACACUGGAACUGAGACACGGUCCAGACUCCUACGGGAGGCAGCAGUGGGGAAUUUUCCGCAAUGGGCGAAAGCCUGACGGAGCAAUACCGCGUGAGGGAAGACUGCCUAUGGGUUGUAAACCUCUUUUUUCAGGGAGGAAUAAAUGACGUGUACCUGAAGAAUAAGCAUCGGCUAACUCCGUGCCAGCAGCCGCGGUAAGACGGAGGAUGCAAGUGUUAUCCGGAAUCACUGGGCGUAAAGCGUCUGUAGGUGGUUAGGUAAGUCAACUGUUAAAUCUUGAGGCUCAACCUCAAAAUCGCAGUCGAAACUAUCUGACUAGAGUAUAGUAGAGGUAAAGGGAAUUUCCAGUGGAGCGGUGAAAUGCGUAGAUAUUGG
rnacentral:rRNA from 1 species